UCCCCCAUGGCGCAAUUGGCUAGCGCGUUCGACUGUUACUCGCUUUGAGAAAUGGUAUCGGGAGGUUGAUAGGUAAGCCUUACCACUCAAUACUCUAACUUAAGUCCUGCUAACGUCCGCCUUUCAGUUCGAGCCUAUCUGGGGGAG